CAAUAGCGUAUAUUAAAGUUGUUGCAGUUAAAAAGCUCGUAGUUGGAUUUGUGGCGUACGGUGUGUUCCGGGCACUUGUUGUCUGAGUAACCUGCUGUUGCCAUCCUUGGGUGGAACCUGUGUGGCAUUAGGUUGUCGUGCAGGGGAUGUCCAUCAUUUACUGUGAAAAAAUUAGAGUGUUCAAAGCAGGCUUAUGCCGUUGAAUAUAUUAGCAUGGAAUAAUGAGAUAGGACUUUUUUGCUAUUUUGUUGGUUUGCGCAAAGAGGUAAUGAUUAAUAGGGACAGUUGGGGGUAUUCGUAUUCCAUUGUCAGAGGUGAAAUUCUUGGAUUUUUGGAAGACGAACUACUGCGAAAGCAUUUACCAAGGAUGUUUUCAUUAA
rnacentral:rRNA from 1 species